AAAAUCAAAUUUCCAUUUCUUCCCCCUUUUCUAACUUAUAAGAUCUCAAGAAGAUCCAGCGUCAUCGGCUCGCCAAACCCCGGCCUCAGUACUUCUCUCACUUCCAUUUCUGAUCCUUUUUUUAUUUUAUUUUUCUCCUGUUGAUUUGUUGGAUUCUUGAAGUUUCUGAAAAAUAAUUAGAAUAAAACAGGAAUGUCAAGCGAGUGGACAGGAUGAGGUACCUGCAAAUGCACGGGCAGGGCCUUCAUCAGGGAGGAAGCCACGGAACCCCUGCAGGUUCAGGCCAGGGACUGUGGCUCUUCGGGAGAUAAGGAAGUAUCAGAAGUCCUGUGAGCUGUUGGUACCUGCAGCUCCUUUCAUUCGAUGCUAUGGUGUAGGAGGAUAGACAAGCUUGUUGAUGGCUAGGUUUUGGAAGCCUUUGGAGUAGAUCCCAUCAAGGGGUUUACAGAUUUUCUGGUGGUGGAAAAUGCAAAAAUCUAGGCAAAAACGGAGGCAGCCAUGAUACGAUUGGAUAUGAGUGAAUAUAUGGAGCGGCAAAGAAAGUAGUUGUCCUACUAGCUAGAUGCUUUUAGCCAUGGUCCAUGCAAAGCAGGACCAGAUUAGGUGGAUGGUCCCAAUCUAGGGUCUCUCUUCUACAUUUGCAGAGGUGGAAUCAACUGCCAUUCAUAGGCAAUUUUAUAGAGAGUGGCAGAUCCGUGUAGCAAAUGGAGAACCUCUUCCCUUGACUCAGUUACAAGUGCCUUUAUAAGGUAAUUGCUAUCAAAUAAGCAAUACUUGACAUCAGACAUGAGCUAGAAAAGUAUGCUGCAUGAUAUGUUAAUUUGAAUCAAUUAACCAUUCCUCACUAGAAUUGUUCGGAAUUCCGCAUCAACUUUUAUUUCACUUUUGUCAGAUAUGACUUGGCUUCGAGCAUUGUCAAACCUGAUU